rnacentral:rRNA from 1 species
AACGAACGCUGGCGGCAGGCUUAACACAUGCAAGUCGAGCGCUGUAGCAAUACAGAGCGGCAGACGGGUGAGUAACACGUGGGAAUCUACCCAACCCUACGGAACAACUCCGGGAAACUGGAGCUAAUACCGUAUACGCCCUUUGGGGGAAAGAUUUAUCGGGGGUGGAUGAGCCCGCGUUGGAUUAGCUGGUUGGUGGGGUAAAGGCCUACCAAGGCGAAGAUCCAUAGCUGGUCUGAGAGGAUGAUCAGCCACAUUGGCACUGAGACACGGCCCAAACUCCUACGGAAGGCAGGAGUGGGGAAUAUUGGACAAUGGGCGCAAGCCUGAUCCAGCCAUGCCGCGUGAAUGAUGAAGGCCUUAGUGUUGUAAAGCUCUUUCACCGAUGAAGAUAAUGACGGUAGUCGGAGAAGAAGCCCCGGCUAACUUCGUGCCAGCCGCCGCCGUAA